rnacentral:rRNA from 1 species
CGUACCCCAAACCGACACAGGUGGUCAGGUAGAGAAUACCAAGGCGCUUGAGAGAACUCGGGUGAAGGAACUAGGCAAAAUGGUGCCGUAACUUCGGGAGAAGGCACGCUGACACGUAGGUGAAGUGAUUUACUCAUGGAGCUGAAGUCAGUCGAAGAUACCAGCUGGCUGCAACUGUUUAUUAAAAACACAGCACUGUGCAAACACGAAAGUGGACGUAUACGGUGUGACGCCUGCCCGGUGCCGGAAGGUUAAUUGAUGGGGUCAGCGCAAGCGAAGCUCCUGAUCGAAGCCCCGGUAAACGGCGGCCGUAACUAUAACGGUCCUAAGGUAGCGAAAUUCCUUGUCGGGUAAGUUCCGACCUGCACGAAUGGCGUAAUGAUGGCCAGGCUGUCUCCACCCGAGACUCAGUGAAAUUGAACUCGCUGUGAAGAUGCAGUGUACCCGCGGCAAGACGGAAAGACCCCGUGAACCUUUACUAUAGCUUGACACUGAACAUUGAGCCUUGAUGUGUAGGAUAGGUGGGAGGCUUUGAAGUGUGGACGCCAGUCUGCAUGGAGCCGACCUUGAAAUACCACCCUUUAAUGUUUGAUGUUCUAACGUGGACCCGUGAUCCGGGUUGCGGACAGUGUCUGGUGGGUAGUUUGACUGGGGCGGUCUCCUCCUAAAGAGUAACGGAGGAGCACGAAGGUUGGCUAAUCCUGGUCGGACAUCAGGAGGUUAGUGCAAUGGCAUAAGCCAGCUUGACUGCGAGCGUGACGGCGCGAGCAGGUGCGAAAGCAGGUCAUAGUGAUCCGGUGGUUCUGAAUGGAAGGGCCAUCGCUCAACGGAUAAAAGGUACUCCGGGGAUAACAGGCUGAUACCGCCCAAGAGUUCAUAUCGACGGCGGUGUUUGGCACCUCGAUGUCGGCUCAUCACAUCCUGGGGCUGAAGUAGGUCCCAAGGGUAUGGCUGUUCGCCAUUUAAAGUGGUACGCGAGCUGGGUUUAGAACGUCGUGAGACAGUUCGGUCCCUAUCUGCCGUGGGCGCUGGAGAACUGAGGGGGGCUGCUCCUAGUACGAGAGGACCGGAGUGGACGCAUCACUGGUGUUCGGGUUGUCAUGCCAAUGGCACUGCCCGGUAGCUAAAUGCGGAAGAGAUAAGUGCUGAAAGCAUCUAAGCACGAAACUUGCCCCGAGAUGAGUUCUCCCUGAGACUUUAGGUCUCCUGAAGGAACGUUGAAGACGACGACGUUGAUAGGCCGGGUGUGUAAGCGCAGCGAUGCGUUGAGCUAACCGGUACUAAUGAACCGUGAGGCUUAACCUUACA